rnacentral:rRNA from 1 species
AAACUUUCAACAACGGAUCUCUUGGUUCUGGCAUCGAUGAAGAACGCAGCGAAAUGCGAUAAGUAAUGUGAAUUGCAGAAUUCAGUGAAUCAUCGAAUCUUUGAACGCACAUUGCGCCCUCUGGUAUUCCGGGGGGCAUGCUUGUUCGAGCGUCAUU